AAACAUCUCUUUUUGAUUAAAAUUUAAAGUUGUCUCUGCUCUAUGAUUAAUUAAAUGGCUGCAGUAUAUUAACUGUACAAAGGUAGCAUAAUAAAUUGUUUUUUAAAUGAAAACUUGAAUGAAUGAGUUAAUGAAAUAUAAAUUUUAUUAAAAUAAAAUUUUGAAUUUGAUUUUAAAGUAAAAAAGCUUUAAUAUAUUUAAGGGACGAGAAGACCCUAUAGAAUUUUAUAUAAAAUAUUUAAAUUAUAAGUAUUUUAUAUUUAUUUGGGAGGAAUAAACAAUUAUAAAACUUGUAUUUAUUAUUUACAUUUAAUUUAUGGAUUAGAUUGAUUAUAUAAAUAUAUAAGAUUAAAUUACCUUAGGGAUAACAGCGUAAUAUUUUUUUAUAGUUCAUAUUGAAAAAAGUGUUU
rnacentral:rRNA from 1 species